AAGUUCUGGGAGCCCAGAUGCUCAGACUUUCCCACCGCAGUGCCCCUAGUGGCAGAAGAUAAGAAUGCAGGUGGCUGGACUCUAAAGAGACAACAAAGAAAGAAGCAAUGGUUCUGGAGUCACCCCCAGAAAAGACUUUAUGAACCAGAUGAAUAAUAUCUGGCAGGGACCAACUCUGGCUACCUCUCACACCGUCCCAAACCCUAACGCCCCAGGAUGGUCUUCACCUUCCAUCACAAUAUGAUUCCAGAAGCCUGGCUAGGACGGAAUGGAGAAACAACAGUUGGUGGUUUCCCAGGUCCCUUCUGGAAAGUCAGAGCGAGGCUGGCGUUGGCAACCUGACUGUCCUCAGGCACAGCAGCUGUUGUAACAACUGGUCUCAUCCGAGUCUCCAGCUUCACAACCCUGCCCAUGAAUCCAUUCAAGAUUCUCAGGUGAUCGCAUCCUGUCCGGGUAAUUUCCUGAAACUCUUUUGUUCUACAGUUUUAUUGAGUGCUCCAACUUGUCCCUUUCAAGGACCCACGUCUUCCGAGGUAAAGGGCAAGGCAGAGCACCAGAACAGUCUCUCUCAUUCCACGGAUGUCUUCUGUUUCUUGUUUUUGUUUUUGACAUUUUUGGAGAGUAUCUUACAAGGUGCUCUUUAAUGGAUCACAGAAUUUCAGAAGAAAAGGGAUGAUAAAAGGGGGCUUAGUCCAAACACCCAGCUCUAAAGAUGAAAGAACUGAAGUUGAAAGAAGUUAUGGAUUUGAUAUGACCCACUUAACUGGCUUCUAUUUCUCUUCUGGUUAUGUGAUUAUUUUGUUAUUGCUAUUAUUAUUAUUAUUAUUAUUUGCUAUUUAUUUUAAUUUAAAAUUUUGAAUAAAUGGGUGUUCUUUGGGCCUCAGAAUUCAGGUCUUUUAUAAGCCUCAACAGUUCUUAGGGAGAGGUUUUCUGACAAAUGCUAUUGCCUGUCCCUGACAUCUGACUAGUUUUGUCCUGCCAUUCAGGAUCUCAAGGAAUCUCCAGCUCCUUGAU
rnacentral:lncRNA from 1 species